UGGGGAAUAUUGCACAAUGGGGGAAACCCUGAUGCAGCGACGCCGCGUGAGCGAAGAAGGUUUUCGAAUCGUAAAGCUCUGUCCUAUGGGAAGAUAAUGACGGUACCAUAGGAGGAAGCCCCGGCUAACUACGUGCCAGCAGCCGCGGUAAUACGUAGGGGGCAAGCGUUGUCCGGAAUCACUGGGCGUAAAGGGUUCGCAGGCGGAAAUGCAAGUCAGUUGUGAAAGGCAGAGGCUCAACCUCUGUAUGCAAUUGAAACUGUAUUUCUUGAGAUGUGGAGAGGCAAGUGGAAUUCCUAGUGUAGCGGUGAAAUGCGUAGAUAUUAGGAAGAAUACCGGUGGCGAAGGCGACUUGCUGGACACAAACUGACGCUGAGGAACGAAAGCGUGGGUAGCAAACAGG
rnacentral:rRNA from 1 species